CUGAAUAUAAAAAAAGUCUCUUGGCACUUUCUCCCCCAAGCCCUGUCCUUACCCCAAUCAGACUCUCACAAGACACAACAGAAGGAGCCACAGGACAGGGGAGUCCUCUCAGGCCGGCUUCCCUCAGUUCUCUGGGUCACCUGGGUCCCCGAGGUUUUCCUGACUCCAAGGACACUGCCACCUCCCGGCUCAUAACAAAUGAUGCUCAGGAGCAUGCCAGCCCUCCCGCUCUAUGAGGCAAUCCUCGGAGGCCCUUGCCAAGAUCAACUGUUUGGCCUUCUGCCUCGAAAGCUGAUCCUCUUCCGAGUCUGAUUACUGCUUUUCUGAAACACAGGCACCAUGACAUCGUCGCCCCCUCCCUGGCUUGGGGAUCUGAUGGUCAGCAUGAAGUCAGCCUCUUCCUGGAAAUCUCUGCAGCCUUCCCUCUCAGCCAGUUCCUGGGACAAAGCCUCUCUCUGCACGUCCUGCAGGGGUUCCUGGAAUCCUGAAGGUGCCACUGGCUGGGAGAGGCCGCAGUGCUGUGGGAUGAUUAAGGGGAGGCACCCUGGAGGGAGCCGGGGCUGGGAGACCAGGCCUGGACUAAGAUAAGCAGGGUGGACACUGCCUGAAAAUCACGUAAAGAAUGAGGUGAAGGAAAACAGAAUGAAAACUUCAGAGGCUGCCUCCAAACUCAUUAGUUAGAACGAUUUCAACAUCAUAUUUUAAAAAACGAGCAUCAGGCAAAUCAAUCCACGGACAUCUUCAAGAAGGACAGGAUCUGGGCGGGCGAGGGCCUGAGCGGCCUCCCUGGCCUCUCUUGCCUCCCGGAGGCCGGGCCUUUCUGGAUUCGCAUCUCAGCGCUCCUCCCGCGAGGUGGAGGUGACAUAGAGUAAACUGAACGUGCCUCAGGAGGGAGAUUGGUAAUGACCUGCGGCCCAGCUGUGUGACCACAUCUGCGUUGUGGCACAGGGGCCCUGCAGGAUUUCCUUUCUUGCUUAGAACUCUGUGUGGGUUCUAAGGUGAAGGCCAAACCUGUCGCGCUAGCCCCUUCCCUGGAAGCCAGAAGACACCGUCCGUCUGCCACACUGUGCUGCUGAGACCCCCGGGCUGACCUUGGCCCUGAACUUCACAUCAUCCCAACCCCAGCCCUGACCACACCCCGAGGGGCCUUUUAAAGUGCCUUGGAGUCCCGGUGAUGUUCGAGGUCUCCUCUUUUGCAUCUGUUUUGAAGCCCUGAUCUCUGACGGCCCUUAAGACAUCGGGGGCAGCUGUGCUUAGGGCUUAGGUUUGGAGAUACUAUGGUUCCUUCAAGGGCAAGGAGAAGAGAAUAUAAAUUCACCAGCCGUCAUAUAAGUUCACAGAUCCUUAAAGCAGGCGAAUCUUAGGAAAGCACUGGAUGCAACUCCGGGCUUUCAAAGAUGGGCAGCUUUAGAGUUGCAUCCAGAGUUUUCUAAGACCCUCCUGCUUUAAGGAUCUGUGAACUUAUAUGACAUCUGGUGUCCCUUUCCCAAGGUCACAGGAAUAAUUUUAUUUUUUGUUAAACAGCUACUAUGUGUCAUGCUUCAAAGUGUUUUAUAUUCAUCAGCUCAUUUAUUCCUCCUAUCACCCGUGAGGUGGGGACUGUUAAGAUUUCUGCUUUCUAGAGGAAGUACCUGAGGCCCAGAGAGGGAAGUGACUUGCCCAUAGUCACACAGCAACAUGUGGUAAUGUGGUAUCUGAACAAGGGUAAUCAGACUCUAGCACUUCCAGGCUAAAGUCUUCUUUGCUCAAGCCAGAUUUCUCUUUAUGACACUAAAGGCAGGGAAUGAAUAAUCUAUGAGGUGAGGAAUUUGCUUUUUGGCUCUUAGAUUUACUCCCUAUGAAAACAAGUCAGAGAGCGAAGGGCCAGGAUCCUGCUGCCCCUUCUGUUGGUUGACCAGGCGCCAGAGGGACGCCAUGGCUCAGCAGCCAGGGUGGGGCUGCCCCGGACAGAUAAAGGUCUAGUGCUGAUUCUUGGACCAGUGACUUGGCUGCACAAUGCAGGGUCAAAGGGGGUGUGAGUGCCAGUCCCACAUCACCAGGCACAGCACGGCCCCAGGAGUCCCAGCAUGGGCUGCCGUGAUGGAGACCACGUCUGUGAGUGCGAGGUGCUGGGUGAGCCCUCCGUGAGUGGGACCAGCAGGGUGGCUCGGCCUCCAAGUUACUUGGUCAUCUGUGAACUAAUGGGCGUGGCCGGAGGAUCUCCAAAGCUCCUUCCUGCCCUCGGAUUCUAUGACCCUGAGCUCUGGGCUCCAGGGUGUGGGGCAGGGAGCGGGGUGCUGGAGCAUCAGCCUCCAGAUGGCCAGCAGCUGUUUGGAAACACCCCGUGCACCUUCCUCGUCCUCUCUAUUUCUCGGCUUGGCUCAAGGGCCGAUUAUAUUACCAGUGGAGAAAUAAACCAAAAACCCAGGGAAAUGGCUGCUUCCCUGUUUUCUUCAUCGCAUUUUCCACGUACGUCAUGCACAAGGCUUUUGCAAGAGCCGGGGACCGCCAUCGGCGGGUUUUGCUCCUGCUUCCAUUAGUUCAUUGGGUGGUUAUAGAUAAUGACAUAAAACUUGUUAUUGGGCCAGCCCUGGAUGGUCUCUGGAGCAGUCAUGUGGGUCCACUCUGAAGCUCCUUCCCGUGGAGGCGUAGGACUUUAUUUCCACUCGGAAUCUCAGUUUCCUCUUCUAGGAAAUGAAGGUACUAGAAAUACUGUUUGUCCCACAGGAAGGGCUAAGAGGAGGACUGAUUGAUUUAAUAUCCUGUAAAUCCAGGCCUAGAGGAAUAACUGGAGGAUUAGCUGCUGUUUUUACGAAGCACUUCGUGUUCGUUUACGGAUCUGACGCAUCCACCGACGCCACCCGGCUGAUGGGAUCUUACGAACCUGGUUCUUGACUUCAGAAUGAGAAAUAGUGACUUGUUCCGGGUCACACAGACCACCCAGACAUCACCCCUCCCAGGAACCAAUACUUGGUCCCCCAGGCUGGCUUCCAGGACCCUGUGCCCCCUCUGCCCACCUCUACUUCCCCACUGCGGGCAGAGAUGGUGUCUACGAGGAGCACUCACGCCGUCCUCAACUCUGUCUAUCUUUCAUUUAACAUCUUUCUGUCUCUUCCAUCCAUCCAUCCAUCCAGCCAGCCAGCCAUCCUUUUAUCUUCUUGACUUUUCGUCUUUGGAGUUUGCUACAGUCUUCGGCUUACAUUUGGGGGCUCAGUAAAUGCUGGUUGAAAUAAAUGGAUGGGAAUUCCCA